GUCCUCGUAGCUCAGCUGGAUAGAGCAAUGCCCUUCUAAGGCAUCGGUCGUACGUUCGAAUCGUACCGGGGACGCCA
rnacentral:tRNA from 1 species